rnacentral:lncRNA from 1 species
CUGACCUUGAAACUUUCAUUCCAGCUGACCUCAGAAGCACAGCCCAGAGUUCUGAUUCCCCCUAAUCCUGGAAGAGCCUAGGGAGAAGACUGGGUCUGCACUCUGCCUGCCUCAUUCUCCCUCCUGCCUCUUUACACAUCCAUUUCUCAACACAAAUGUGUUCGAGCCUUUGGGGGCCUAAAGGGACCAAGAAGAGUCUGCAGGGAUGAGAAAAGGAAGUAGAGGCUGAGGACCACCCUGCUUUCACUCUGCUUCAUAGCCCAUGCAAUUCAAUUUUGCUCCAUUUCCCUAAAUAUAACAGUCCUUCACACUUUAGUGUGAAUUAGCCUGUUACAUUACUUUCUUCAAGGAGAGGCUCCUCAGCACGUCAGCCCUGAGCAUCCAGAACGAGAUGGUCAUACAUGAUUGGGGAUGUGAAGGAAAGAGAAUGAUGUCCAGGAAAACCCACCUUCUCUG